AUGUGAUCGUCUCUCGCAUAUCAAUAAGCGGAGGAAAAGAAACUAACAAGGAUUCCCCUAGUAACGGCGAGUGAAGCGGGAAGAGCUCAAAUUUGAAAUCUUAAAGGGUUUCCCUUUACGAAUUGUAGUUUAAAGAAGUGUUUUCUGUUGAGGUUUUGGUAAAAGUUCUUUGGAAUAGGACAUCAUAGAGGGUGAGAAUCCCGUAUUUGACCUUUACUUUCAACUUUGUGAUACGCUUUCAAAGAGUCGGAUUGUUUGGGAAUGCAGUCCAAAAUGGGUGGUAAAUUUCAUCUAAAGCUAAAUAUUGGCGAGAGACCGAUAGCGAACAAGUACCGUGAGGGAAAGACGAAAAGAACUUUGAAAAGAGAGUUAAACAGUACGUGAAAUUGUCAAAAGGGAAGCGUUUGACACCAGUGUUGUUUUUCUGAAAAUCAAUUAAAGAACUGUUUAUGCUAAGCUGUUUAGACUUUAUCAGCUAACUGUUUAGUUUUGAGCUUUUCUUUAAUGCACUUUUCAGUUAACAAGUCAACAUCAAUUUCUUUUGCUGUAAAAAAGCUUGAGGAAGGUGGCUUGAGAUUCGUCUUAAGUGUUUAUAGCCUCUUGCCUAUGCAGUCGGAGAGAUUGAGGUCUGCAGCGUAGAUCCUUCGGGGCUAAAUGCAUUUGUGCUAAGUUAUAGCAUUUUAUAGACAACUUGUUGACUAUGAUUUGUCUUGUAGCUUACUCGCUUAUGUUAUUUUACCUACGCUUAGGAUGUUGACACACGCGCGUGCUCG
rnacentral:rRNA from 1 species